rnacentral:rRNA from 1 species
GACAGAGGGUGCAAACGUUGCUCGGAAUCACUGGGCGUAAAGGGCGUGUAGGCGGGAAGGAAAGUCGGGCGUGAAAUCCCUGGGCUCAACCCAGGAACUGCACUCGAAACUUCUUUUCUUGAGUGCCGGAGAGGAAAGCGGAAUUCCUGGUGUAGAGGUGAAAAUUCGUAGAUAUCAGGAGGAACACCAGUGGCGAAGGCGGCUUUCUGGACGGUA